AUUGCUUGUAUUGGUUAAGUUGUAAUUUGGGGGUCUAAACGUUCAAAGAUGUUUUGUACACGUUUUUGAACUUUCAAUCUGCAUACAAUUGAUAGCCUCAAAAGCUUCACUAAUUUAGACAACCCAGAACACAUUAUGUUUGGGAAUCUGUCAAAAUAAUUUGGCAAACUGUUGCAUUUUUAGUUGGGAAAGAAUUUUUGGCUGUCUGAACAAGAAAUUUAGUUGAUCACUAUGUUGGCAAGCCUGGCAUCCUUGCAAUUUUGUGCAGCGUUAGUAAAAAGAGUUAGCAGCGGUCUACAUUAGCACACUACUAGCAGUCUAGCACUCCACUACACUAAUUGAGAUGUUUUGCAGAGAGUUCAUUAAACAUGGAGACAUAUGAUGUGGUAGUUGAAUAUGAGCAGUUGGGUUGAGCACGGAAAAAGGCUUAUCAGUUUGUCUUAAUUAUCAACAACCUUUUCCUUUAUUUCACCUGAUGAUGCCAUGUUGGAAACUUGAGGUACCCCUUCUUUCUAAACUUGCCUUAUGGUUUAAAGAAGUCCGUCUUCUCACCAAGGUUCCAGGAGCUGCUUUCAUGUAUAUUACGUGAGGUAGCUUAGCUUGGCUACUGGAAGCAAAAAUAAUAUAUAUAUGGAGUUGACAUGGAUUUAAGCCCAAAUCAUGCUUGUGAUGAAGCAUGGAUAAAAGAUUGCUGCCACAAGGGCUGAUCUGAUAAUGAGACUGACAUUCUUCUGUAAGAAGAUGUUGGUUUGGGAGAGGUGCUGGUUUGCUUUGGGGCAGCCAAAGAUUAUUGACGCAAUGGUUUUGAGCAUUGAAGUGGCUUAGAUAUCUCAAUUUCACAAUUUUCCAAAGCCCCAAAGAUUAUCAAGGCAAUAGUUUUGAGCCUUGAAGUGGCUUAGAUCUUUGAAUUUCAUAAUUUUUCAAAGCAUCAUCAAAAUCGAAGGUGUUAUAUUGUGUCGUAAAUUAGUCAUUUUUCAGAAUUCAACAAAAUCAAGGACGGAACUCCCAGAUUUGGAUGGUCAAGCAUGAAAUCUUUGCCUUCACAUUGGCCCUAAUACAUUACUAAAAUAUGCAAUUGCUCCAGAGGACCAUAUAUGGAGUCAAAUUUGUUGCAGCAAAACCUUAUGGUAUUGUAGAUUUAAUUAAUUUUUAACCCAUGGUAGUUGUUUUUAUUUUGCUGAUAAUUUAUGUUGGUUUAAGAUUUUAAUGUGUACAAAAGGACUCCUAGCAUUUGGCCUAUCAACCAAUAUAAAAGCAUUAUUCUGCACAUAUACGCCAGGUUGUGCUUACAUGUAACACAGGGUUUACUUUAAUUCUUUUCAUGCCCA